CGUAGGUGAACCUGCGGAGGGAUCAUUACACAAAUAUGAAGGCGGGCUGGAACCUCUCGGGGUUACAGCCUUGCUGAAUUAUUCACCCUUGUCUUUUGCGUACUUCUUGUUUCCUUGGUGGGUUCGCCCACCACUAGGACAAACAUAAACCUUUUGUAAUUGCAAUCAGCGUCAGUAACAAAUUAAUAAUUACAACUUUCAACAACGGAUCUCUUGGUUCUGGCAUCGAUGAAGAACGCAGCGAAAUGCGAUAAGUAGUGUGAAUUGCAGAAUUCAGUGAAUCAUCGAAUCUUUGAACGCACAUUGCGCCCUUUGGUAUUCCAAAGGGCAUGCCUGUUCGAGCGUCAUUUGUACCCUCAAGCUUUGCUUGGUGUUGGGCGUCUUGUCUCUAGCUUUGCUGGAGACUCGCCUUAAAGUAAUUGGCAGCCGGCCUACUGGUUUCGGAGCGCAGCACAAGUCGCACUCUCUAUCAGCAAAGGUCUAGCAUCCAUUAAGCCUUUUUUCAACUUUUGACCUCGGAUCAGGUAGGGAUACCCGCUGAACUUAAGCAUAUCAAU
rnacentral:rRNA from 1 species